AUGUGUUUCGUGACUAUUGUGAA
rnacentral:misc_RNA from 1 species